rnacentral:sRNA from 1 species
GGCCAUGUGAUGCUAGGAACAAUGGAUGUCCAUCACCACUGGACAAAAACUGUUGAAAAGUAGAAUACUAUUUCACCCUCGAAGUUUGCGUGGUUUACAAAUGAUCCUUAACAGUGACAGAUAUGUUCCAAGCUUGCAUGAACUCGGGCAUUUUAAUAUUCCAACAAUCUGUGAUCCAGCAAAUCUCCAGUGGUUUAUUCUCACCAAAGCUCAGCAGGCGAGAGAGAACAUGAAAAGAAAGGAAGAGUUAAAGGUUAUUGAAAAUGAAUUGAUACAGGCAUCAACAAAGAAAUUUUCUUUGGAGAAGUUAUAUAAAGAGCCCAGCAUUUCUAGUAUACAAAUGGUGGAUUGUUGUAAGAGACUUCUAGAACAAUCACUGCCUUACCUACAUGGGAUGCACCUCUGCAUUUCACAUUUUUACUCUGUUAUGCAAGAUGGAGACCUUUGUAUUCCUUGGAAUUGGAAGAAUGGAGAAGCCAUUAAGUAACACAGAAAUCUUUUUAUUUUUUUAAGAGAUAAGAAAGGAACUUAAAUUAAAAAUAUU